GGGGUCAUUGGCCAAUUCGCAUACGGAUUAGAAGCCAGAAGUCCGUUGUCCUUGAAUAAUCACUUCUCAUACCUCGACGCCCAAACCUCGUUGUUUCUGGUGCCAACCCCGUUGUCUUGCUGAUGCUUGUAAAUAACUAGUGGAGUAGUAGGUACUAGGUACGGAGUACUCCGUAGUUUGUUGUUUAUCGACCUCAAGACCUCGUAGCUGGGCUUCAGCCACAUCGUUCAAGCGACUGACGGAACGCAGUAACGAUUUUCCGCCACUCAGCGGCUGAAUCUCGCUGCGCAGGGUCUCAUUGGCCAGAAGCCGGGUAGUUUGAUUCCACAUCGACGACCGCGUGCACGGACUGG
rnacentral:sRNA from 1 species